rnacentral:rRNA from 1 species
CAGUAGCCGCGGUAAUACGUAGGUCCCGAGCGUUGUCCGGAUUUAUUGGGCGUAAAGCGAGCGCAGGCGGUUUGAUAAGUCUGAAGUUAAAGGCUGUGGCUCAACCAUAGUUCGCUUUGGAAACUGUCAAACUUGAGUGCAGAAGGGGAGAGUGGAAUUCCAUGUGUAGCGGUGAAAUGCGUAGAUAUAUGGAGGAACACCGGUGGCGAAAGCGGCUCACUGGACCAUAACUGACGCUGAGGCACGAAAGCUAGGGGAGCAAACAGGAUUAGAUACCCCAGUAGUCCCUGUCUCUUAUACA